rnacentral:rRNA from 1 species
UACGUAGGGUGCGAGCGUUAAUCGGAAUUACUGGGCGUAAAGCGUGCGCAGGCGGUGAUGUAAGACAGAUGUGAAAUCCCCGGGCUCAACCUGGGAAUGGCAUUUGGGACUGCAAGGCUGGAGUGCGGCAGAGGAGACUGGAAUUCCUGGUGUAGCAGUGAAAUGCGUAGAUAUCAGGAGGAACACCGAUGGCGAAGGCAGGUCUCUGGGCUGACACUGACGCUCAUGCACGAAAGCGUGGGGAGCAAACAGG